GUAGGUGGCAAGCGUUGUCCGGAAUUAUUGGGCGUAAAGCGCGCGCAGGCGGUUCUUUAAGUCUGAUGUGAAAGCCCACGGCUCAACCGUGGAGGGUCAUUGGAAACUGGAGAACUUGAGUACAGAAGAGGAAAGCGGAAUUCCACGUGUAGCGGUGAAAUGCGUAGAGAUGUGGAGGAACACCUGUGGCGAAGGCGGCUUUCUGGUCUGUAACUGACGCUGAGGCGCGAAAGCGUGGGGAGCAAACAGGGAUUAGAUACCCUGGUAGUCCACGCCGUAAACGAUGAGUGCUAAGUGUUAGGGGGUUUCCGCCCCCUUAGUGCUGCAGCUAACGCAUUAAGCACUCCGCCUGGGGAGUACGGCCGCAAGGCUG
rnacentral:rRNA from 1 species